rfam:Picea glauca, whole genome shotgun sequence.
UUAUGUACAUGCCUACAACGUUAAUCCACCAGAUCCCAUUAGAACUCUAUAGUUAAGCGUGCUUGGGCAAGAGUAGUACUGGGAUGGGUGACCUCUCGGGAAGUUCUAUUGUUUUACAUGCC